CCCCCUAUAUAUAGUUAAAUAUAUAACUAGAUAAUGUUGUUCUAUUAGAGCAUAAGAUUCUAACAAAUCCUUAUUUUAUUUAUUUCUGGUGGUAUUGGAUUGGCUCAAUUUCGAAAUAAAAAAACAAAGAUUUCGCGGGCGAAUAUUUACUCCUUAUCCAUUUUAUUUUAGAUGUAAUCUAGAGUUAUCCUGUGACUCUUCAAAAAAAUGAAUUGGUUCUUAGUUCGUUCCGCCAUCCCUCCCGUCAAAUGAAUCUUAGGUAUUCACGGUUUUCGUCGUUCCCAUCGCUUCUCGAUUGAUGAUUAGGUCUGGAAUUCUACAAAGGAGCUCGCAAAUACAAUUCCAAAUUAUAUAUAUAUUUCUUUUUUCUUGAAUCAACCUUCUCAGUUUUUAUUGACUC
rnacentral:lncRNA from 1 species